AUACGGAGGGGGCGAGCGUUGUCCGAAUUUAUUGGGCGUAAAGCGCGUGUAGGCGGGUGUCCAAGCCCGGGGUGAAAGGUUGGGGCUCAACCCCAACAGUGCCCUGGGGACUGGACGUCUGGAGGCAGGCAGGGGAGCGUGGAAUUCCUGGUGUAGCGGUGGAAUGCGUAGAGAUCAGGAAGAACACCCGUGGCGAAGGCGGCGCUCUGGGCCUGUACUGACGCUGAGACGCGAAAGCGUGGGGAGCGAACGGGAUUAGAUACCCCGGUAGUCCACGCCGUAAACGAUGGAUGCUCGGUGUCGGGGGUAUCGACCCCCUCGGCGCCCAAGGUAACCCGGUAAGCAUCCCGCCUGGGGAGUACGGCCGCAAGGUUGAA
rnacentral:rRNA from 1 species